UGAAGCGGGAUGAGCUCAAGCUUAAAAUCUCCAUACAGGUUCUGUAUGGCGAAUUGUAGUCUAUAGAGGCUGUUGUCAGUGCAGCUAUCUGGGAUAAGUCCCUUGGAAGAGGGUAGCAUUGAGGGUGAUACUCCCGUCUUUGCCCAGAUAUGCGGUGCGUACGACACGCUUUCUUUGAGUCGAGUUGCUUGGGAAUGCAGCUCAAAGUAGGUGGUAAAUUCCAUCUAAAGCUAAAUAUAAGUACGAGACCGAUAGCGAACAAGUACCGUGAGGGAAAGAUGAAAAGAACUUUGAAAAGAGAGUUAAAGAGUACCUGAAACUGCUGAAAGGGAAUCGAAUCGUUUCCAGUGUUUUUGCCUUUGCAUAUUUCAUUAAUGAAAGCUUGUUGGUUCUUUGGUUUGUAGUAGUUAAUUCUUCACUGCCAUUUUAUUAUGCUUGUUUUUGUUGGUGCCCUGUGUGAAGGUAUGAUGUCAAGGUCAAUUCGUAAGUCGCGGGAGAUGGUUUAUUGGGGAGGUAUGUUAACUGAUUCUGUCAUUUAACUGUUAUACCCUGGUUUACUAGUAGUCGUGGCUGGGAUUGAGGUGCCUACAACAUGCCUUGAAAGUCUUGUGGAAUUUUAUUUGUCAAUUUACUUGGAUAGCUUGCUAUGUCUGUUAAUUGUUCAGAUGAUUGAUUCUAUGARUUACUUUUGCUGUUC
rnacentral:rRNA from 1 species